GAUUCUGUGCAGUUGAGUUCCCUUCAGGGUUUGGAGGCUGCUCUGAACUCUGUUAGCUCUUCUCUCACUAUCUUUUUCCUCAGGGUAAUAGGAAUAGAAUUUAAAUUUGUUUCAUUGAAACUCUAGUAUUUAUAGCCUAAUAUUGGUAGCUUAGUGGGCUUUUGAGAGAGGUCCAAGUCUGAGAUUUUUUCUUUUAUUUAUUUAUUUAUUUAUUUAUUUUCAUUUUUU
rnacentral:lncRNA from 1 species